rnacentral:rRNA from 1 species
UGGGGAAUAUUGGACAAUGGGCGAAAGCCUGAUCCAGCCAUGCCGCGUGUGUGAAGAAGGUCUUCGGAUUGUAAAGCACUUUAAGUUGGGAGGAAGGGCAGUAAGCGAAUACCUUGCUGUUUUGACGUUACCGACAGAAUAAGCACCGGCUAACUCUGUGCCAGCAGCCGCGGUAAUACAGAGGGUGCAAGCGUUAAUCGGAAUUACUGGGCGUAAAGCGCGCGUAGGUGGUUCGUUAAGUUGAAUGUGAAAGCCCCGGGCUCAACCUGGGAACUGCAUCCAAGACUGGCGAGCUAGAGUAGGGCGGAGGGUGGUGGAAUUUCCUGUGUAGCGGUGAAAUGCGUAGAUAUAGGAAGGAACACCAGUGGCGAAGGCGACCACCUGGGCUCAUACUGACACUGAGGUGCGAAAGCGUGGGGAGCAAACAGG